UAACGAGUAGUUUAAUAAAAACAACAGAUUGUGGUUCUGUGGAUAAGUUAAUCUUUUCGUUAG
rnacentral:tRNA from 1 species